UGCAGUCGAGCGCAGGAACUCAACUGACCCCUUCGGGGUGACGAUGAGUGGAAUGAGCGGCGGACGGGUGAGUAACACGUGGGCAACCUACCUGUAAGACUGGGAUAACUCCGGGAAACCGGGGCUAAUACCGGAUAACUUUUUCCUUCGCAUGAAGGGGAAUUAAAAGGCGGCAUUUGCUGUCACUUACAGAUGGGCCCGCGGCGCAUUAGCUAGUUGGUGAGGUAACGGCUCACCAAGGCAACGAUGCGUAGCCGACCUGAGAGGGUGAUCGGCCACACUGGGACUGAGACACGGCCCAGACUCCUACGGGAGGCAGCAGUAGGGAAUCUUCCGCAAUGGACGAAAGUCUGACGGAGCAACGCCGCGUGAACGAAGAAGGUUUUCGGAUCGUAAAGUUCUGUUGUUAGGGAAGAACAAGUAUGAGUCGAAUAGGCUCAUGCCUUGACGGUACCUAACAUAGCAAGCCCCGGCUAA
rnacentral:rRNA from 1 species